AAGGUCCAACUUCACAUGGCCUGUAUGUCAUAAAGAGGGUUGUGUAUGGUUGGGCCCAUC
rnacentral:pre_miRNA from 1 species